GACGAACGCUGGCGGCGUGCUUAACACAUGCCAGUCGAACGGUGAAGCGCCUUCCUUUUUGGUGGGUGUGGAUGAGUGGCGAACGGGUGAGUAACACGUGAGUAACCUGCCCCCUUCUUCUGGAUAACCGCAUGAAAGUGUGGCUAAUACGGGAUAUUCUGGGUCUGUCGCAUGAUGGGUCUGGGAAAGAUAUUGUUUCGGUGGGGGAUGGGCUCGCGGCCUAUCAGCUUGUUGGUGGGGUGAUGGCCUACCAAGGCGGUGACGGGUAGCCGGCCUGAGAGGGUGGACGGUCACACUGGGACUGAGACACGGACCAGACUCCUACGGGAGGCAGCAGUGGGGAAUAUUGCACAAUGGGCGCAAGCCUGUUGCAGCGACGCCGCGUGAGGGAUGGAGGCCUUCGGGUUGUGAACCUCUUUCGCCAGUGAAGCAGGCCUGCCUCGUUUGUGGGUGGGUUGACGGUAGCUGGAUAAGAAGCGCCGGCUAACUACGUG
rnacentral:rRNA from 1 species